rnacentral:ncRNA from 1 species
CCCUGACAGUCAUAUUGAAUGGCUGACACUAGCCACGACAGGAGAUACAAAUG